GGUAAGAUGGCUGAGUAAGUGGGGGACUGUAAAUCCCUAUACGGAGGUGUAAGGCCUCCUCUUUCCA
ensembl:Mt_tRNA